UGGAGUAUCGCCAAGCGGUAAGGCAGCGGGUUUUGAUCCCGCCAUUCCCAGGUUCAAAUCCUGGUACUCCAG
rfam:Pseudoalteromonas phenolica strain KCTC 12086 chromosome I, complete sequence.